rnacentral:rRNA from 1 species
UGGGGAAUAUUGCACAAUGGAGGGAACUCUGAUGCAGCGACGCCGCGUGAGUGAUGAAGGAAUUCGUUUCGUAAAACUCUGUUCUAUGGGAAGAAAAGGACUGUACCAUAGGAGAAAGCUCCGGCUAAGUACGUGCCAGCAGCCGCGGUAAUACGUAUGGAGCGAGCGUUGUCCGGAAUUAUUGGGCGUAAAGGGUGCGCAGGCGGCUUUACAAGUUGGAUGUGAAAUAUUGUGGCUCAACCACAAACGUGCAUCCAAAACUGCAAAGCUUGAGUUAAGGAGAGGUAAGUGGAAUUCCUGGUGUAGCGGUGGAAUGCGUAGAUAUCAGGAGGAAUACCGGUGGCGAAGGCGACUUACUGGACUUAAACUGACGCUCAGGCACGAAAGCGUGGGGAGCAAACAGG